AUGCACUCCUGGGGGACCCGGCUGCUGGCCGCGGCGACGACGGCGGUGCUCCUCCUCAUCGCCACCUGCGCCGCCGCCUCCGCGCUCGACGCCUUCCACGUCCCCUCCGUCGAAGCCCAAGCCCACGUUACGAAGAUAAAUCGAUUCCACAAACAGAUCAAUGGGAAUGACAAGGUGACCUUGACCUUCAGUCUAUCUGCAAAUUUGGAAUCACUUUUCACGUGGAACACAAAGCAGGUCUUUGCCUUUGUGACGGCGGAGUAUGAAACCGCAAAGAAUUCCCUGAACCAGGUUUCAUUAUGGGACAAGAUAAUACCUGACAAAGAGGAGGCAAAUGUCCAAGUGGAGGUGAAGAGCAAGUAUCCCCUGACUGACCAGGGGACCAGUCUGCGGGGCAAGAAAGUUCAGCUUGUCCUCCACUGGCACAUCAUGCCAAACGCCGGCGCAAUGAUCCGAGGCAAGAUGCCUCUCUCGGAGUUCACUCUCCCAGACACCUAUACUUCCUGA
rnacentral:rRNA from 1 species